rnacentral:rRNA from 1 species
GGGAAUACUGCAAAGCUAGGGAGUGGAGAGGUAGACGUACUCGGUAGGAAGUGGUAAAAUCCUUUGAUCUAUUGAUGACCACCUGUGGCGAAGGCGGUCUACCAGAACACGUCCGACGGUGAGGGAUGAAAGCUGGGGGAGCAAACCGGAUUAGAUACCCGGGUAGUCCCAGCUGUAAACUAGCAAACUCAGUGAUGCAUGGCUUGUGCCAAUGCAGGUGCAGGGAAGCCGAUAAGUUGCCGC